rnacentral:rRNA from 1 species
AACGAACGCUGGCGGCGUGCCUAACACAUGCAAGUCGUGCGAGAAAGUUCCUUCGGGAGCGAGUAAAGCGGCGCACGGGUGAGUAACACGUAGGUAACCUGCCCCCCAGUCUGGAACAACUAGAGGAAACUCUAGCUAAUGCCGGAUGAGACCACGAUCCCUUCGGGGGUUGCGGCCAAAGAUGGCCUCUACUUGUAAGCUAUCGCUGAGGGAUGGGCCUGCGGGCCAUUAGCUUGUUGGUGAGGUAACGGCUCACCAAGGCUGUGAUGGCUAGCUGGUCUGAGAGGAUGACCAGCCACACUGGGACUGAGACACGGCCCAGGACUCCUACGGGAGGCAGCAGUGGGGAAUAUGCGCAAUGGGCGAAAGCCUGACGCAGCGACGCCGCGUGGGUGAUG